rnacentral:lncRNA from 1 species
AUGUUAAAAAACAAGCAAACAUAUGUUUUAAAACAUCUAAAUAAUAAUGAAAUCACGUAAAAUAAAGUCAGAUUACUGGUACCAAUACUUUCACUGAUUAAACUUUCAUUUACACCAUAAAAUUAGUCAUACAUUCAAGAACCAAUAUCACCUUUCUUGUUAUCAUUUCCAUUCCUUCUUCUUUUUGACCUUUGAAUAGAAGAACUUGAUAUGUCUACACCGAAUUCAGAUCCUCUCAUAUUGAUCCUUUCCUGCUGUCUCGUUAUGCAUUAAUUGCAGCCAUUAGAUCUCUCAUGUUGUUUCUUUCUUCUGACUAGUUUUUUUUCUUUACAAUCUCAGGCGUUGAAUUAAAAACACGAAAGAUAGGAGAACACACUGGCGUAGCAGAUGAUCCAACUCGGUCUAUACCUUGCCCAGCUAACUCCUCAACAUCACACCAAUCAUGGUCUUCAUUAGUUGCUUUAGUUUCUUUUUAUGGGUCUCCAGAUGGUCCAUUUACCAUGACCAGAGGCUAUAGUAUUCUUAAAAAGAUCUCCAAUUCAAGUAAAUUUCUAAUACAUUGUCUUUGAACUUUGCAACUUCAGGGAUAUUCCUGAAAUAAAAUCUAUUUGAUUUACUAAAUAUUUUAACCAUCAAACUGAAAAAUAAAUGAAAAUAUAAUUUUACCCUCAUUAUCGUUGGAAGCCAUCUCAAGGGCUAUUAUAGCACAAUACAAAAAAAAAAAAAAAGUUUCUCACACAAACAAGAAUCAUAAUUUUUUUUCUUCCGUAAAUCUGAUAUCCUCUGUGCGCAACUGUAGAGACCAAUCCCUCAAGCCUUUGUGGAACUCAAAUGAGCGGCAAACUCUCCCUAAGUGUUUUAACGUUGCUGCAUGCCCAAACUAGAGACAAGAAUCAUAAAUUUAAAAACAUAUCACAUGAAAAUAAAGUGAAUUCUUAUUUGUACUAACAACUCUUUUGGUGUAACUUGAACCAAUUGUGGCUUUGAUAUAAUAUAUAAAUAAAUGGUUAGAAUUUAUU